GAGGGUUCUUUAAGGCCUCCUAUUGUCUUAACCACACCGCGUACUUGCCGGAUAUCAUGUCUUUGCCUCGGCAGCGGCCCCAGGGGGGGCCAGCAGCCCGCCCAUGGCGGGUGCUGCCGGCGGCGCACAAACCAUACAACAUCGCAAAAAUGCACUUACAAACCUAUUA
rnacentral:misc_RNA from 1 species